rnacentral:misc_RNA from 1 species
UGUGGCACCUGGGCGGCAGGUU